rnacentral:rRNA from 1 species
GGGGGGACCACCCUCCAAGGCUGAACACUCUCCUGUGACCGAUAGCGAACCAGUACCGUGAGGGAAAGGUGAAAAGCACCCCGAGAGGGGAGUGAAACAGUACCUGAAACCGUGCGCCUACAAGCAGUCGGAGCCCCCGAGCGGGGUGACGGCGUGCCUUUUGUAGAAUGAGCCAGCGAGUUGCGGUAUGCGGCGAGGUUAAGGUUUGAACCGAGCCGCAGUGAAAGCGAGCCUUUAAGAUGGCGAUAGAGUCGCAUGCUGCAGACGCGAAGCCGGGUGAGCUAUCCAUGGGCAGGCUGAAGCGGGGGUAAGACCCCGUGGAGGGCCGAACCCACUUCGGUUGAAAACGGAGGGGAUGACCCGUGGAUAGGGGUGAAAGGCCAAUCAAACCCGGAGAUAUCUCGUUCUCCCCGAAAUAGCUUUAGGGCUAGCCUCGGCCGUUCUCCGACGGCGGUAGAGCACUGGAUCGUCGAGGGGGCUUCACCGCCUACCGACACGAACCAAACUCCGAAUGCCGCCGGAUCAGAGGCCGGGAGUCAGAACAUGUGGGCUAAGCUGUGUGUUCGAGAGGGAAACAGCCCAGACCGCCCGCUAAGGUCCCCAAGUUUAUGCUGAGUGGCAAAGGAUGUGCGUUUGCCUAGACAACCAGGAUGUUGGCUUAGAAGCAGCCAUGCAUUUAAAGAGUGCGUAACAGCUCACUGGUCGAGUGGACAUGCGCCGACAAUUCACGGGGCUAAGCAUAACACCGAAGCGGCGGACUAAUCUAUAUUAGUGGUAGGGGAGCUUUCCCCGCAGCGGAGAAGCCGAGAGGGCGACCCUCGGUGGAGCGCGGGGAAGUGAGAAUGCUGGCAUGAGUAACGAGACCAGGGCGAGAAACCCUGGCGCCGUGAGCCUAAGGGUUCCUGGGCGAGGCUAAUCCCCCCAGGGUCAGUCGGGAGCUAAGGCGAGGCCGAGAGGCGUAGCCGAUGCGCAACAGGCGGACAUUCCUGUACCGCCUGCGGACCGCUAUCACCGACGGGGUGACGGAGAAGGGUAGCCGAGCGGGGUUCUGGACGUCCCCGUGAAAGCGCGUAGGGCGGCACGCAUGGAAAUCAGCGAUGCCACGAAGCCUGAGACGCGAGACGAAGCGACUGAGCGAAGCCGGUGAGCCCAUGCUUCCGAGAAAAACCUCUAGGAAGGGACGCAGGCGCCCGUACCAAAACCGACACAGGUGGGCAGGUAGAGCAUACCGAGGCGAUCGGGAGAACCAUGGUUAAGGAACUCGGCAUACUGACUCCGUAACUUCGGGAGAAGGAGUGCCCCUGGCGGUGGAGGGACUAGCUCCCCGAGCGGCCGGGGGUCGCAGCGAAACGGCCCAAGCGACUGUUUAUCAAAAACACAGGACUCUGCAAAGCCGUAAGGCGACGUAUAGGGUCUGACGCCUGCCCGGUGCUGGAAGGUUACGCGGAUGGGUCAGCCGAAAGGCGAAGCUCUGAAGCCAAGCCCCAGUAAACGGCGGCCGUAACUAUAACGGUCCUAAGGUAGCGAAAUUCCUUGUCGGGUAAGUUCCGACCUGCACGAAUGGCGUAACGAUUUGGGCGCUGUCUCAACCAUGGACCCGGUGAAAUUGUAUUAUUCGUGAAGAUGCGAAUUACCUGCGGAAGGACGGAAAGACCCCGUGAACCUUUACUGCAGCUUGACAUUGAUCGUUGGCUCGGCGCGUAGAGGAUAGGCAGGAGGCUGCGAAGCCCGGGCGCCAGCCCGGGCGGAGCCGACCUUGGAAUACUGCCCUCGUCGCGUCGGCGAUCUAACCCCCGGCCGUGAUCCGGCGGGGGGACCGUGUCAGGCGGGUAGUUUGACUGGGGCGGUCGCCUCCCAAAACGUAACGGAGGCGCGCAAAGGUCCGCUCAGAACGGUCGGCAACCGUUCGCAGAGCGCAAGAGUACAAGCGGGCUUGACUGCGAGGCGUACAGGCCGAGCAGAGACGAAAGUCGGUUCUAGUGAUCCGGCGGCACAGAGUGGAAUGGCCGUCGCUCAACGGAUAAAAGGUACUCCGGGGAUAACAGGCUGAUCUUGCCCAAGAGUCCACAUCGACGGCAAGGUUUGGCACCUCGAUGUCGGCUCAUCGCAUCCUGGGGCUGAAGUCGGUCCCAAGGGUAUGGCUGUUCGCCAUUUAAAGCGGUACGCGAGCUGGGUUCAGAACGUCGUGAGACAGUUCGGUCCCUAUC